rnacentral:misc_RNA from 1 species
GAUGAAGAACGUAGCGAAAUGCGAUAAGUAAUGUGAAUUGCAGAAUUCAGUGAAUCAUCGAAUCUUUGAACGCACAUUGCGCCCCCUGGUAUUCCGGGGGGCAUGCCUGUUCGAGCGUCAUUUCACCACUCAAGCCUCGCUUGGUAUUGGGCAACGCGGUCCGCCGCGUGCCUCAAAUCGACCGGCUGGGUCUUCUGUCCCCUAAGCGUUGUGGAAACUAUUCGCUAAAGGGUGUUCGGGAGGCUACGCCGUAAAACAACCCCAUUUCUAAGGUUGACCUCGGAUCAGGUAGGGAUACCCGCUGAACCUAAGCAUAUCAAUAAGCGGAGGA